UACGGCUGAGUAGAACAAACCACCGGAUAAUUUAACCCGCCUCUACGCAAGGUUCUCCGGUGGAAGAGUGAGAGAGAGAGAGAGUUAGUCUUCUUCUUUUCUAUAGAAAGUUCUCCGUCUGCUGCGGCUGCGUCCGCCUCUGGUCUCAGUUGGAAGAAGAGAGAGUUUCCUUUCGACCUAGCCUAGGUAGGAGCCUUAGCAAGGGCACUUGACUUCGGUCGGUCCUCUCUCGUUCGAAGCAGUUCCAGGAGGAGGGUGGUGGAAGUGUUCCCUCCCGUAGAGGUCCAGCUCCAUCGUGGUGACCGUUGGUACCUCCGCCGAGACCACUCACGUCGCUGCCCUCGGAACUUUGGGCAAGAUCGUUUCGACCCACGAGACCGUCCGCUACUCAUGUUCGCCAAGUUCCCACACGCACUACUAUAGUUCAGUGAGUGCGCACUUGAGUGACGGUACCUUCGUAAAGAAGAGUUCUACAGUCUCCUUCUCCUGGGACUACAAGUCCUAUUCCACACCUACUUACUCCACGCCCUCGAGAGAAUACUGUACCUCCUGAGAUAGCUACUGAAGUACGUCUUACACCCGUCGGUUCUAAGUUUCGGUCUACCAAAGAACCUUUUCUACUUCUUGAGCAACCCCUUCUACUUCCGAGCAGCAGCGUAGCCUUUACUCUAGGUACUAGACUUCUUUGUCUAGUGUCUCCACCGCCUCUCCUUACUUUCCAUGUUCCGAGCACUCCGGAAGAGGUUCCGAUUCUUAUGUUGGCAACUGGGGUCUCGAGAACGAUAGAAAGUCGUACGGAGGCUCGAACAGCCUUAACUACUUGGGUUCCGGCUCUAUUAAUUUGACAACUGUGUUCCACUCAGUUGUGUUCUCUUUUACUUGAACGAUAGGUAACAACCUAGACCUCCUUACCCUUUCUGUUGAGAACGUUUGGUUCACAUAGUUCUAGAGUUUCCUUUUAAAGUUACAGCUCGGAAGAAUAGGCAAAGUUCCUUAGGUCUGUACUACUUAUAGGAUUCCUGAUAAGAAUCACUUCAAUCACCGGUUGCAAUGUGGCUGUGGCUUCGUCCUUCAUAUGUUGUUGAGUAGUAGUUCUAGUGACUAAAGGAUCAUCUGUUUUCCAUAAAACAACAAGAACUGCUAUAUACCCUACACCUAUGUACCCUAUAAUAAUUCGAACGUAAAGGGAACUGAUCAAGACCGUCAUAGUAUUAGUGUUGAUGGGCAUUUUUACUACAACGACUUAGUACGGUAAACUUUGGUAAGUUACCUCUAUAAAUAGCGUAUUCCGGAGAACUAUACCACGUGAGAUCCGUCAAUAAAAUGUGUUCUAAUAAGUUGAGGCUUCUUUUAACGGGGAGUAUGGAAUUUUUCCAAAGACUCGUAUAUAACUCUUUUACACGACCUAACGGAAACCGUUAGUAACGAUAUAGACCAAACAACCGAUUAUGACUUUCCUGUCUCCCAGGUACCUUUGUUCAACUUCUAAGCUAACCAGCUCGUGAACUUUCUUUAGGGUCACAACUUCCUUACUACUUCUAUAACAGUGAAUCAAUGAAACUUAACGGACGAGUAGACUUUAGAACAGAAAAUACAAACUCAUAUAAGGGACUUCUAAGACAAUAGUUAUUCUUUAAAAACUAUUUCUCCACCUAACGACUUUCUAAUUAAGUAUGUCUUCGGCCUAUAUCAUGUUGUAUACUUAAACCACUUUCCACAAAAUUACUCGAGUAGUUAUCCUCAAACUAGGUCGGACCCCUUUUUCUUUAUCUACCAUGAUAUUUCUCAACAGCUGAAGUACUGUGUUAAGAACUAAAGUAGUAUAGGUCCAGGUAGCUUCUUUUGAAACAAUGAAACCACCCACAAGGACCAAAUUGACAACCCUGUGCGUUGUUUCAAGCAGCCGAGAGGGACGUUCGGCCGUUCCUUUUUCUUCACUAUGACGGUUCUCCGAACCACAACAGAGUACAUGCUAGUGAACUACACAAACCCCUUAGCCACUUUUAGGGAAGAUACCUGUUCAAGUCCGUAAACGCAAAAGACCUGAAACUUCUAACGUUUGUCGAUCUCUUGGUGGUAGAACUUUUAUAUCUCUCUAACAAAGUCGACUCCAUGAACUCGGAGGCUUCUCGCCUCUUUCAUUGAUUCGAGCAUCUUGUUUAGCCUGUAGAUUCCACAAAUCUCUAUGAUUUAAAUUCUCCGUGGGUACAAACACCCAAUGGUUGUAGAUAAGAGUUAGAGUUCUCUAACCACGUGGAUAAUCAGCUGUCACCACAAUGUGAAAGAACACCUUAAAGGUUCUACGUUAGUGACCUCUUAAACUUCGAACAGUCACAGAUGUUGGUAAGUAAAUUGAAGGACGUUCUUAACCUCGUCGACGUCUCAGACUUCUUUAACCGGGAACUAAAACUCCUAAUAUCAAGACGACUGGCUCACUUACGACUUUUACUCAGGUUCUCUCGAUAAUAACAGUGAAGGGAAUUUUUGGAUCCCUUGGAAGAUAGAGAUCGAUAAACCCUACCGGGGCUUAAACAUCCCCUUAGAGACACGGGAUACGGUGAAUUGGAGGUCUUCGACUUUCAGGCACCAAGAUAAUAAGGGGUACAAGGUUUAACCCACCCGAGGGAACAGUUGGAGGUCCUCAAUGCGGAACUUAACAAGUCUCGACUCGUCUUUCUAAAGAUAUAGGAACCUCCGAAUGGACAAGACGCAACAGACUAAGACUCUUAAAAACUGGCACUUUAAUCUUUAUGGAGUAAUUGUCUUCUCGGACUUCAAUGUUCCCAGUAUCAGACACCACUCCAACCUAAGGGUACGAACUCCUAUAAAUUAAUACUAUUACCCAUGCCACCAUACUUAAACUGGAAACGCCGACCUCGGUACGGGUUCCAUCUACUGGAGAGCUAUCUUAAAUUGCGUCGUUUUUGACCCAGAGAGCUAUGGUCGCCACGAAAACUAGAGCCUUAUCUUUUAGAGGGGCCGGAGGAAUUUUAGUCUACAAUGCAUACCCCUCUGCAGUUCCUAUCUUAACUUCGACGUCUUCGACGGUAAGCCCUUCGUUGGUUGCGUGUAGGGUUGGCGGGAUGAGAACUGAACCUGACUAUUACGCAACGGCCUUAGCUCGAGUCCCUUGUUACGAUUACUCUGACGUUAAGGUUUCCAAGCAGUAGUGACGUAAAAACUCUAGCUUGUUAAGCAGUAGGAGACGCUCCUACCUAGACGGAGGGACGACCUUCUAACGUCUUCUUUUGCCGUCUCAUCCGCUUCUUCUGCGCCACCUUGGUCCGGCGCCUUCGAUCGACCACCCUCCUCUACUAGUCCAAGGUCCUCUGCCGACGCUCCGGGUGGCUUCUUUACAAGCCGACGAAGCCGACUCGUCGGUCGUGCGUGUAUCUAAUAUUGGACUUAUUAGUGGCACUAAAAACAUCUGAUCGAGAUCGAUCUUCUACAAGUACGAGAACGAAAUAACCAAGAGUUGUAACCAGUAUUCGAAGCUAGUACCUACAUAAUAUGAUAAACCCUCUCACUUAAGGACAAAGAUGGUGAUGAAUCUGUAAAAAAAUGCGCUUAACGGGUUAACUUGUCAAAAGCAGGCCUAAUGGGACAAAAGGAAAAAAAUUGAGGCCGGAAGAAUUACUCUUUUUGUCUCGUGGACUGUGUCCUCGGCUCUGGUUAAUUACCUAUGUUAGACACGUGACGGUUACGUCGGUACGAUUCUACGUUGCUAGCUAGGCAGAACGACGGACGACGUCUACCUGGUCGUCGCGGUUGUUCUCGUGUCGUUCCUGGUCGUUGGCUGUGUCCGCGCCACGACCGUUUCGCUCUACCUCUCCUCUUGGUCUUCUCGUUCCGGCUGUUGUCCACCGUACGGAGCUGAGCAGAGUUGAAUUGACUUGGCUUGGCUUGACUUGAAAUGUGUUCUCUUAGGAGACGUAGAAACCAUGCAUCGAUGGAACUGACCACUUCCCGACUCGUGUUCUACAGCAGGCAGGAUAGUACCCUCUUCUGGUUCUUCUGCCGACAGGUUCGGUUCCAGGCUUGUGCCCUCCUCUUCGACCUCUUCUUCUUCCGCCUCAUGCGCCUCUUCUACGCCUUGGCAUAGCGCUACUAGGUGUUCCUCCUCGUCUCCCCGUCUCCCGGCGGCACCUCCGCUCCGCCGUCCUCCUCUACUAGUUCAUGGUCCUCUACCGGUGACGUGAAUAGGCAUACACCAGCUAUGAGUGAGGUUGCCUCCGGUCCCUCGUAAACCAAUGAUCUAGAUAGGCUACCCUCUGCCAUCGAGCCCUAAAUAAGUUGGCCAAACUUACUGCCAGUACAUUAUCCUAUCGACAAAUCAAAGGAUAGAUAAUAUAAACGAACGGCCAACACCGACAGACCAAACGACGAAAACACGAGACACAACUCGUGUCGGAAAACAAACAAACAAACUCUGAUGUUCUGAUAAC
rnacentral:rRNA from 1 species